ensembl:lncRNA
UCGGAAUUUGCAAGAUGUUUUCUGAAAUGCAAGCAAACUUACUCGAACCGUUGACUGAAAUUGAAUAAGGAGUUAUGUUCAGUGGGUUGACACUUCCGUUUAUCACUGCUGUAAAGAGGGUGUCUGAAAUCUCUUGAACAGUUGGAAUAGCUUGUGUGGAGUUGAAAGCUAGCUGUGUUUCCGUGAUUACUGACCCUUGUCUGGAAAAUAUAAAAGAAUGUCAUAUAGGAUUCCUCAAUGUGAGCAAAUUACCUUUUUGUAAGUUUAUUGCAUGGUUAUUUGUUUAACCCCAUAAUGCACAUAAAUUCCUUAUUUACCUGAAAAGCAAGACAUUCACUCCAAUAAAGGAAAAAUAUUUUGCUUUGUAGAUUGGUUCAAGCUGCAAGAAUAAAAGUGCAACAGGCAGUCACAACCACAAUUCAAAUAUAUAUUUUUUUAUUAUUAUUUGUUAAAUUACAUUGAUUACUGAUGAAGACUUUUUUACUUCAUGGGUACAGGCAAGAUAUGUUCUGUGUGUCACCUGUGAAACUUGUUAAGUACAUUUUAACUCACCUGAGAUAUGACAAGCUGAGCCCUGUUCUUGAAGGUCUGAGAGUUUGGGUCACUGAGUUCUACAUUAAAGUUGUCUAAAGAGCGGAACACCAGAUCUGUUAGAUACACAGGUGCAGAUUUUGUAGUUGUAGCUGAGGGCCCUUUUGUUGUAGCUGUUGGCGUUGUGGAUAUUGUGGCUGUGCUGACAGUGGUUCUUUCAGUAGAGAUUGAAGUGGGAAUCACAGAAGUUACUGCUGUAGAUGUUGUUUGUGGUGCUGUUGUGGAAGGUCCUGCAGUAGUAGUUCCAGCAGGAGAUGAUGUCACUGUUGAAGGAAGUGUUGUUGUAGCUGUUGGUGAUGUAGAUGUUGUUUGUGGUGCUGUUGUGGAAGGUCCUGCAGUAGUAGUUCCAACAGGAGAUGAUGUCACUGUUGAAGGAAGUGCUGUUGUAGCUGUUGGUGAUGUGGAUGUUGUUUGUGGUGCUGUUGUGGAAGGUCCUGCAGUAGUAGUU